rnacentral:lncRNA from 1 species
ACCGAGAGUGUAAAUUUCGAAUGAAUCGAUGUCAACAUUCACAAGAACCAAAGCCGGAACAACACUAAACUACUUAGUUGCGCCCUAACAGUACAACUUUGCAACGAGUACUUUUUCUCAUUCAAUCGAACAAAGAGUAAAACCUAAUUAUCUUGUUUUAUUUUGCCUCGAGAGGGUAAAUUUCGAACGAAUCGAUGUCAACGUUCACAAGAACCAAAGCCGGAACAACACUAGACUACUUAGUUGCGCCCUAACAGUAUAACUUUGCAACGAGUACUUUUUCUCAUUCAAUCGAACAAAGAGUAAAACCUAAAUUAUCUUGUUUUAUUUUGCCUCGAGAGGGUAAAUUUCGAACGAAUCGAUGUCAACGUUCACAAGAACCAAAGCCGGAACAACACUAGACUACUUAGUUGCGCCCUAACAGUAUAACUUUGCAACGAGUACUUUUUCUCAUUCAAUCGAACAAAGAGUAAAACCUAAAUUAUCUUAUUCUAUUUUGCCUCGAGAGGGUAAAUUUCGAACGAAUCGAUGUCAACGUUCACAAGAACCAAAGUCGGAACAACAUUAGACCACUCAGUUGCGCCAUAACAGUAUAACUUUGCAGCGAGUACUUUUUCUCAUUCAAUCGAACAAAGUGUAAAACCAAAUUAUAUUAUUCUAUUAUGCCCCGAGAGUGUAAAGUUGCAUCGAAUCGAUAUUAACAUUCACAGGAACCAAAACCGGAACAACAUUAGACUCCUCACUUGCGCCCUAACAGUACAUGUCACGCCCCGGGACCGAUACCAAUUUGGCCCGACCCGAGCACGUCAAACAGACGCCGAACGGACAGAGCUUCCCCUAUCCGCCCAAGGCUCAUCACAUGUACAUUUUCAUCAAUAGAGAAAAGCACUAGCGGAAACAUACACAAACGGCUUACACGAGGGUAAGCAAUAGCCAUUAGUGAAAGAAAGGAAAACUAAACAUUCGAUUGUAGUACGAUUCAAUUUAGAUCAUAUACAUACAUCCAACCUGUAAUUUUUCGAAAUCCUUACAUUCUGUUUCAUCAUUUCUUUCUUACAUCACAUUUACCUCAAAAUACACAUUACAUUCUUUUCUUUACAUCAUUUACCAUCAUAUACAAAGAUGAUCAUAGGGUACUUUACUACAAAAUGAAAACCCGACUUUGGUGGCCUCUGACUAAGGCGCGAUACCUUUACCUCGGUCACUCGCCGGCUCGCUCGGUCCCGGCUCUGUGAAAAUAGUGGGGUGAGAACUACAACAAAGUUCCCAGUGGGUUCGGCCUCAACACCACCGACUUUCCCACUAGGUCUAACUCAGGCAUAAUAGAAAGAAUAAGCUGUAUAGUAACCAAUCUACAACAUGAUGCUAAUAUGCCUGAACAAUAAGCAAGAAGUAUGCUCAACAUUAAAUAAAUGCAGAUUAUGCAAAUUCUUUCAUUGUUUGACUUUACUUUGUACUUUGUUCUUUAUUCUUUGCUCUUUGUUCUUUGUUCUUUGUUCUUUAAUCUCAAGGCUAACCCGGAGGUUUCGCCACAUUAACUUGCUUCACAUUAAGUCCAUCAUCGCAGGAACUCACCCGCUAGGACCGUCCUUCGGGUUUACUCCAACCCGUGAUGCAUAACUCCGGAGCGCAUCGCCCGAGGGGGAGCGACCGCCCUCGAGCACGGAACUCAUAGCAAGUAUGAUCAUAUCCUUAACUCAAAGGAUUUAUAAGUUCAAUCUUGACUUUACACUAGCUCUAGUGUUCAUUAUAUCACUUUAUGUUGCAAACUCAUGCAAUCACGUUCUUUACAUUUUCCUUUACUUUUGCUAACUCUAGCAAUUAUAUUCUUUACAUUCUUUACUUUUGGCUACCUCUAGCACUUCGUGUUCUUUACUCCCACAUUACUUUAACUUUAGACAAUGUCAUUUUCAUCAUUCUUUACGUCACGUUAGUUCUUUGCAUCACACUAACUCUAGUGUCUCUUUACUUUACAUUUUCAAAUGCCACUUGAUCUAUGUCAUAGUGUCACUCUGUUCUUUUGCUCCCUUUGGGUGCUCACUUUUCUCUCAUGCAUACAUAGGGUUUUCGACAUUCAUAAGGUGUCAUAUUAUGCAAGUUGUACUCACAAUCAUGCAUCAUUACAUUUCAUCAUUACUUUACCCUAAAAUGCAUGCAACAAUAUAUAUAUAUAUGCUCAAUUGAAUGACACAUUAGGCAUAGAGAGAAGUUCAAUGAGUUUGAGAAGCACCACCCACCUCGUAGGCUUUCAAAGGUGCUCCGACGAUUUUCUUGGGAUUUUUAGACACCCGGUUCACUACCUGCGGCAUAACGAAGCCAAAUUAGGCUUAUUUGGCUAUAACUUUACAUACACUUUUCGUAAUGCUAUUCCGAGCGCACCAACGCGUCGGAAAUACCCCUAAUUAGGUUUCUAGAGGGUCAAUUUCAAUUAGAAAUCUCCAUGAGCAAAAGCCCCAAUUUGGUGCCCUAGCUCCAAUACACAUAUCAAACCUAGGGUUUGAUCUCAUUGGGAAGCAAAAGUAGCUUCAUUACACUCUAAAUAGUCCAUUAGAACCAUCCCCAGCUCACUCCAAACCCUAGUUUGGAUUUCACCAUGAGAGGUGGUCCAAGCUCACCUCUAUAGCAAACCAAGGUUUUGAUCUCUAAAGAAGCAAAAAGAAAGCUUCAAAAACUCUAAACAAUCCAUUAAAACCAUUUCUAGGUUUAUUCAAAGCCCAUUCUAGGGUUUUUACUACAAUAGGGUUCAAAGCUUACCUUGUAAGCUCUCUUUUCUUGCACUAGAGAGCAAGAAGAUGAAGUCCCUUUGCUCUUUGAUCUUCUUCUUCACUUUCUUCUCCUUCCUUUCCUUCUUUUCUUCCUUUCUUCUUCUUUUCCUUUGUCUUCUAGAGAGAGAGAGAAGAGAGUGUGAGAGGGUGAGGGAAUGAGAGAGGAAGGCUCCCUCAGCCCCAACAUAACCCUUGGGUUGCAAAAUUGCUAAUAAACCCCUCAACUUUUACUCCUUGACGCAGCCUGGACUGGGCAGUUUUCGUAGGCAGAGACCGUCUCCCCGACCAGGGACCGGUCCCCGAAGGUCCACCCUGCGCAGCCAGAGCUGCCGCGCGCAAUGCAUCCGGUCCCUCCUUGGGGGACCGGUCUCUCAGGCAGGGACCGGUUCCAGAGAGCUAACUUCUCAGGACUUGGCCGAUUUUUCGGCAGUCUCAUUCCUUACGCAUUCGGGGACCGGUCUCUCCCUUUAGGGACCGGUUCCCGAGAGCUACUUUCUCAGGACUUAGCUGAUUUUUCGGCUGUCUCGCUUCAUACGCGCUCGGGGACCGGUCUCUUCCACCAGGGACCGGUCCCUGAGAGCUGAAACCUGCAGUUUUGCAGAAUUCGAUUCUUUAGCUCUCGAAAACCUUCCACAACACACUUUUGACCGUUUUAAUACCUUCGGACAUUCCGAAGUGUACCAUCCUCGCACUUUGGUCAAUUUGACUAAAGUUCGAGAUUUAUUUUCCGAACUUUCGGUAUAUUACAGUACAAAUUUGCAACGAGUACUUUUUCUCAUUCUAUCGAACAAAGAGUAAAAUCUAAUUAUAUUGUUCUAUUAUGUCCCGAGAGUGUAAAUUUGGAACGAAUCGAUGUCAACGUUCACAAGAACCAAAAUCGGAACGACAUUAGACUACUCAGUUGGGCACUAGCAGUAUAACUUUGCAACGAGUACUUUUUCUCAUUCAAUCGAACAAACAGUUAAACCUAAUUAUAUCGUUCUAUUAUGCCCCGAGAGUGUAAAUUUAGAAUGAAUCGAUGUCAACGUUCACAGGAACCAAAACCGGAACAACAUUAGAAUACUAAGUUGCGCCCUAACAGCAUAACUUUGCAACGAGUACUUUUCCUCAUUCAAUCGAACAAACAGUUAAACCUAAUUAUAUAGUUCUAUCAUACCCCGAGAGUGUAAAUUUCGAAUGAAUCGAUGUCAACGUUCACAAGAACCAAAAUCGGAACAAUAUUAGACUACUCAGAUGCGCCAUAACAGCAUAACUUUGCAACGAGUACUUUUUCUCAUUCAAUCGAACAAAGUGUCAAACCUAAUUAUAUUGUUCUAUUAAGCCCCAAGAGUGUAAAGAUGGACGAAUCGAUGUCAACGUUCACAAGAACCAAAAUCGGAACAACAUUAGACUACUCAGUUGCGCCCUAAGUGUAUAACUUUGCAACGAGUACUUUUUCUCAUUCUAUCGAACGAAGAGUAAAAGCUAAUUAUACUAUUCUAUUUUUCCCCGAGAGUGUAAAUUUGGAACGAAUCGACGUCAACGUUCACAGGAACCAAAACCGAAACAAUAUUAGAAUACUCAGUUGCGCCAUAACAGUAUAACUUUGCAACGAGUACUUUUUCUCAUUCAAUCGAACAACAGUUAAACCUAAAUAUAUUGUUCUAUUAUGCCCCGAGAGUGUAAAUUUCGAAUGAAUCGAUGUCAACAUUCACAAGAACCAAAGCCGGAACAACACUAGACUACUUAGUUGCGCCCUAACAGUAUAACUUUGCAACGAGUACUUUUUCUCAUUCAAUCGAACAAAGAGUAAAACCUAAUUAUCUUAUUCUAUUUUGCCUUGAGAGGGUAAAUUUCGAACGAACCGAUGUCAACGUUCACAAGAACCAAAAUCGGAACAACAUUAGACCACUCAGUUGCGCCAUAACAGUAUAACUUUGCAGCGAGUACUUUUUCUCAUUCAAUGGAACAAAGUGUAAAACUAAAUUAUAUUAUUCUAUUAAGCCCCGAGAGUGUAAAGUUGCAACGAAUCGAUGUUAACAUUCACAAGAACCAAAACCGGAACAACAUUAGACUCCUCACUUGCGCCCUAACAGUACAAAUUUGCAACGAGUACUUUUUCUCAUUCUAUCGAACAAAGAGUAAAAUCAAAUUGUAUUGUUCUAUUAUGUCCCGAGAGUGUAAAUUUGGAACGAAUCGAUGUCAACGUUCACAAGAACCAAAACCGGAACGACAUUAGACUACUAAGUUGCGCACUAACAGUAUAACUUUGCAACGAGUACUUUUUCUCAUUUAAUCGAACAAACAGUUAAAUAAAGAGUAAAACCUAAUUAUCUUGUUCUAUUUUGCCUCGAGAGAGUAAAUUUCGAACGAAUCAAUGUCAACGUUCACAAGAACCAAAAUCGGAACAACAUUAGGCAACUCAGUUGCGCCAUAACAGUAUAACUUUGCAACGAGUACUUUUUCUCAUUCAAUCGAACAAAGAGUAAAACAUAAUUAUAUUAUUCUAUUCUGCCCCAAGAGCGUACAUUUGCAACGAUUCGAUGUCAACGUUCACAAGAACCAAAGCCGGAACAACAUUAGACUACUCACUUGCGCCCAGCGCCCUAGCAGUAUAACUUUGCAUCGAGUACUUUUUCUCAUUCUAUCGAACAAAGCGUAAAACCUAAUUAUAUUGUUCUAUUAUGGGUAAAUUUUGAACGAAUCGAUACCAAUAUUCACAGAACCAAAACCGGAACAACAUUAGACCUCUCAGUUGCGCCCUAACAGUAUAACUAUGCAACGAGUACAUUUUCUCAUUUAACCGAACAAAGUGGAAAACCUAAUUAUAUUGUUCUAUUAAGCCCCAAGAGUGUAAAGAUGGACGAAUCGAUGUCAACGUUCACAAGAACCCAAAUCGGAACAAUAUUAAGCCCCGCGACCAACCGCCAAUUUGGACCGGGUCGCGGCGCCGCCGACAGACCGCCGAACGGACCGGGAAUUCCCCUGUACGUGGACAGAGUCUCCCCAGUACGUCCAAGGCGUCGCAAUCCAAACAAUCAACGAAUGUUCUAACAAGGAACGGAUAUCAAUCCAGAUUGCAUAAGGAAGUAUCAAAUACAUAAUCUACUUGCUAUUACAAGUAGAUUUAUUUCACAACCACGUUUUACAUCACAGUUUCAGUUUACAUUUUUACUUCCGAAUUACAAUCUCACUAUUACAUCAGAGUUUACGAGUUUGAUACAUUUCUUUUCUUGUCUUCUAGACCCCUAAGCUAGACUGUCUCAGGGUACUGCUACCUCGGUCUCUUUGGUAGGGCGCUAUCUACUGAGCUACGCCCUCGCCUCGCACCGCCGCGUGGCACACGAACGACCUGAAAACCCCAAAACAACGUGGGGUGAGAACCAACUCCAUGGUUCCCAAUGGAUACGGCCACCCAAGGGAAAAGCUCGACCGAUAGGUCCGAGGAGGCACUGCAACAUGUUAGCUCAACAAUAUACAACAAAUAUAUAUAUUCAAUUGAAAUACAUGCCCUGCCUCACAAUAUGCGAUAUGAAAAUCAUGCAAUAACUAAUACAUCAUUUGAAUUCUACUUUUACUUGGCUACUUUAGCUCAUAAUUUUGCAACGAGUACUUUUUCUCAUUCAAUCGAACAAAGAGUAAAACCUAAUUAUCUUGUUCUAUUUUGCCUCGAGAGGGUAAAUUUCGAACGAAUCGAUGUCAACGUUCACAAGAACCAAAAUCGGAACAACAUUAGGCAACUCAGUUGCGCCAUAACAGUAUAACUUUGCAACGAGUACUUUUUCUCAUUCAAUCGAACAAACCGUUAAACCUAAUUAUAUUGUUCUAUUAUGCCCCGAGAGUGUAAAUUUCGAAUGAAUCGAUGUCAACGUUCACAACAACCAAAGCCGGAACAACAUUAGACUUUUCAGUUGAGCCCUAACAGUAUAACUUUGCAACGAGUACUUUUUCUCAUUCAAUCGAACAAAGAGUAAAACCUUAUUAUCUCAUACUAUUUUGCCUCGAGAGGGUAAAUUUCGAACGAAUCGAAGUCAACGUUCACAGGAACCAAAACCGGAACAAUAUUAGAAUACUCAGUUGCGCCCUAACAGUAUAACUUUGCAACGAGUACUUUUUCUCAUUCAAUCGAACAAACAGUUAAACCUAAUUACAUUGUUCUAUUAUGCCCCGAGUGUGUAAAUUUCGAAUGAAUCGAUGUCAACGUUCACAAUAACCAAAGCGGGAACAACAUUAGACUACUUAGUUGCGCCCUAACAGUAUAACUUUGCAACGAGUACUUUUUCUCAUUCAAUCGAACAAAGAGUAAAAGCUAAUUAUCUUGUUCUAUUUUGCUUCGAGAAGGUAAAUUUCAAGCGAAUCGAUGUCAACGUUCACAAGAACCAAAGCCGGAACAACAUUAGACUACUCACUUGCGCCCUAACAGUAUAACUUUGCAUCGAGUACUUUUUCUCAUUCAAUCGAACAAAGAGUAAAACCUAAUUAUCUUAUUCUAUUUUGCUUCGAGAGGGUAAAUUUCGAACGAAUCGAUGUCAACGUUCACAAGAACCAAAAUAGGAACAACAUUAGACUACUAAGUUGCGCCAUAACAGUAUAACUUUGCAACGAGUACUUUUUCUCAUUCAAUCGAGCAAAGUGUAAAACCUAAUUAUAUUGUUCUAUUAAGCCCCAAGAGUGUAAAGAAGGACGAAUCGAUGUCAACGUUCACAAGAACCAAAAUCGGAGCAACAUUAGAAUACUCAGUUGCGCCCUAAGUGUAUAACUUUGCAACGAGUACUUUUUCUCAUUCUAUCGAACGAAGAGCAAAAGCUAAUUAUACUGUUCUAUUAUUCCCCGAGAGCGUAAAUUUGGAACGAAUCGACGUCAACGUUCACAGGAACCAAAACCGGAAUAACAUUACAAUACUCAGUUGUGCCCUAACAGUAUAACUUUGCAACGCGUACUUUUUCUCAUUCAAUCGAACAAACAGUUAAACCUAAUUAUAUUGUUCUAUUAUGCCCCGAGAGUGUAAAUUUCGAAUGAAUCGAUGUCAACGUUCACAAUAACCAAAGCCGGAACAACAUUAGACUACUCAGUUGAGCCCUAACAGUAUAACUUUGCAACGACUACUUCUUCUCAUUCAAUCGAACAAAGAGUAAAACUUAAUUAUCUUGUUCAAUUUUGCCUCGAAAGGGUAAAUUUCGAACGAAUCGAUGUCAACGUUCACAAGAACCAAAAUCGGAACAACAUUAGGCAACUCAGUUGCGCCAUAACAGUAUAACUUUGCAACGAGUACUUUUUCUCAUUCAAUCGAACAAAUCGUUAAACCUUAUAUUGUUCUAUUAUGCCCCGAGAGUGUAAAUUUCGAAUGAAUCGAUGUCAACGUUCACAAUAACCAAAGCCGGAACAACAUUAGACUACUUAGUUGCGCCCUAACAGUAUAACUUUGCAACGAGUACUUUUUCUCAUUCAAUCGAACAAAAAGUAAAACCUAAUUAUCUUGUUCUAUUUUGCUUCGAGAGGGUAAAUUUCGAGCGAAUCGAUGUCAACGUCCAUAAGAACCAAAAUCGGAACAAUAUUAGACUACUCAGAUGCGCCAUAACAGCAUAACUUUGCAACGAGUACUUUUUCUCAUUCAAUCGAACAAACAGUUAAACCUAAUUAUAUUGUUCUAUUAAGCCCCAAGAGUGUAAAGAUGGACGAAUCGAUGUCAACGUUCACAAGAACCAAAAUCGGAACAACAUUAGACUACUCAGUUGCGCCCUAACAGUAUAACUUUGCAACGAGUACUUUUUCUCAUUCAAUCGAACAAACAGUUAAACCUAAUUAUAUUGUUCUAUUAUGCCCCGAGGGUAUAAAUUUCGAAUGAAUCGAUGUCAACUUUCACAAGAACCAAAGCCGGAACAACAUUAGACUACUCACUUGCGCCCUAACAGUAUAACUUUGCAUCGUGUACUUUUUCUCAUUCAAUCGAACAAAGAGUAAAACCUAUUUAUCUAGUUCUAUUUUGCCUCGAGAGGGUAAAUUUCGAACGAAUCGAUGUCAACGUUCACAAGAACCAAAACCGGAACAACAUUAGACUACUCAGUUGCGCCCUAACAGUAUAACUUUGCAACCAGUGCUUUUUCUCAUUCAAUCGAACAAAGAGUAAAACCUAUUUAUAUUAUUCUAUUAUGCCCCGAGAGUGUAAAUUUGGAACGAAUCGAUGUCAACUUUCACAAGAACCAAAGCCGGAACAACAUUAGACUACUCAGUUGCGCCCUAACAGUAUAGCUUUGCAACGAGUACUUUUUCUCAUUCUAU